rnacentral:rRNA from 1 species
AUCAUUAUUGAAAUAAACCUGAUGGGUUGUUGCUGGUUCUUCUUGGAGCAAUGUGCACGCUUGUCAUCUUUAUAUUUCCACCUGUGCACUUUUUGUAGACCCUUUAUCAGGUCUAUGUUGCCUUUUCAUUUACCCCAAUGUAUGUCGAUAGAAUGUUGUGCAUUAUAAAAUAUCUAUACAACUUUCAGCAACGGAUCUCUUGGCUCUUGCAUCGAUGAAGAACGCAGCGAAAUGCGAUAAGUAAUGUGAAUUGCAGAAUUCAGUGAAUCAUCGAAUCUUUGAACGCAUCUUGCGCUCUUUGGUAUUCCGAGGAGCAUGCCUGUUUGAGUGUCAUUAAUAUACACAUAUACAUAUAGUCAAACCUCUCUUGAAUUGGAGUGGCUUGGAUGAGGUGGGGGCUUGCUGGCCUGUUCAGCUCCUCUGAAAUGCAUUAGCAGAAACAGACCUGUUCAUUGGUGUGAUAGAUAAUCUACGCUAUUGAAUGUGUGAUGGUUGCUGUUCGGCUUCUUANCAGUCUUUUGGACAACUUUAUCAUUUAUGUGACCNCAAAUCAGGUAGGACUACCCGCUGAACUUAAGCAUAUCAAUAAGCGGAGGAAAAGAAACUAACAAGGAUUCCCCUAGUAACUGCGAGUGAAGCGGGAAAAGCUCAAAUUUAAAAUCUGGCAG